rnacentral:rRNA from 1 species
GAUGAAUGCUGGCGGCGUGCCUAACACAUGCAAGUCGAGCGGCAGCGCGGUCUUCGGACUGGCGGCGAGCGGCGUACGGCUGAGUAACGCGUGGGAACAUACCCCAAAGUGAGGGAUAACCGCCCGAAAGGGUGGCUAAUACCGCAUAUGGUCUUCGGAUUAAAGGAUUUAUCCGCUUUGGGAAUGGCCUGCGUAAGAUUAGAUAGUUGGUGAGGUAAUGGCUCACCAAGUCGACGAUCUUUAACUGGUCUGAGAGGAUGAUCAGUCAGACUGGAACUGAGACACGGUCCAGACUCCUACGGGAGGCAGCAGUGAGGAAUCUUCCACAAUGGGCGAAAGCCUGAUGGAGCAACGCCGCGUGCAGGAUGAAGGCCUUCGGGUCGUAAACUGCUUUUAUAAGUGAAGAAUAUGACGGUAACUUAUGAGUAAGCACCGGCUAACUACGUGCCAGCCGCCGCGGUAA